rnacentral:rRNA from 1 species
GAUGAACGCUGGCGGCGUGCCUAAUACAUGCGAGUCGAGCGAACAGAUAAGGAGCUUGCUCCUUUGACGUUAGCGGCGGACGGGUGAGUAACACGUGGGUAACCUAUCUAUAAGACUGGAAUAACUCCGGGAAACCGGGGCUAAUGCCGGAUAACAUGUUGAACCGCAUGGUUCUACAGUGAAAGGCGGCUUUGCUGUCACUUAUAGAUGGACCCGCGCCGUAUUAGCUAGUUGGUGAGGUAACGGCUCACCAAGGCAACGAUACGUAGCCGACCUGAGAGGGUGGUCGGCCACACUGGAACUUAGACACGGGCCAGACUCCUACGGGAGGCAGCAGUAGGGAAUCUUCCGCAAUGGGCGAAAGCCUGACGGAGCAACGCCGCGUGAGUGAUGAAGGUCUUCGGAUCGUAAAACUCUGUUAUUAGGGAAGAACAAAUGCGUAAGUAACUGUGCGCGUCUUGACGGUACCUAAUCAGAAAGCCACGGCUAACUACGUG